UACAGAGGUCUCGAGCGUUGUUCGGAAUCACUGGGCGUAAAGAGUGCGUAGGCUGUUUCGUAAGUCGUGCGUGAAAGGCGCGGGCUCAACCCGCGGAGUGCACAUGAUACUGCGAGACUGGAGUAAUGGAGGGGGAACCGGAAUUCUCGGUGUAGCAGUGAAAUGCGUAGAUAUCGAGAGGAACACUCGUGGCGAAGGCGGGUUCCUGGACAUUAACUGACGCUGAGGCACGAAGGCCAGGGGAGCGAAA
rnacentral:rRNA from 1 species